AACUUUUGUAAAUUGAUAUGAGCUUAGAACCAUAGAAUGAAGACUUGCAUUGUGCUUCUGAUAAGUACUUCAUGGCUUAUUAUGACCUAAGUGUUCUAAAUUUGAUUCACAGGGAAUUGUGAGUUCUAAUUGAGUUGAAGCAAAAUCAAUUUAGAUAAAUAAAUCUUUUGUUUUGCUUAUUGUUGAAAACUUCUUUGAAGGGAAGGUUUUAUUGGAAAGUGUGACAGUCUAACAUUCCAUACUCCUCUCCUCUUAAAAAGAAAGUUUUUUACUAUGGACCUUCCAAUGCAGUAAUAGCAUGCCAAAGUAGCAUUCUAUGCUGCACGAUUUAUGAAUUAUCUGAAUGCCUUUGAUUUGGUAUAACUUAAGGAAGCUUGAUUGAUGUAUCUUUUCUUGCUCUUCAUGAGCGCUUUGUUAAGAAGCCAUGCAAUUCCUUUCUCCUAAUGGAAUUUAUUAUGGUGCUUCUAACUUGUAACAUUAAAUGGUAUCCUUUCUGAAAUGUGUUGUUUAUGGGGAAAUAUAUGGUAU
rnacentral:misc_RNA from 1 species